rnacentral:rRNA from 1 species
UAGCGGAGGAAAAGAAACCAACAGGGAUUGCUCUAGUWACGGCGAGUGAAGCAGCAAUAGCUCAAAUUUGAAAUCUGGCGUCUUCGACGUCCGAGUUGUAAUUUGUAGAGGAUGCUUCUGAGUAACCACCGACCUAAGUUCCUUGGAACAGGACGUCAUAGAGGGUGAGAAUCCCGUAUGCGGUCGGAAAGGUGCUCUAUACGUAGCUCCUUCGACGAGUCGAGUUGUUUGGGAAUGCAGCUCUAAAUGGGAGGUAAAUUUCUUCUAAAGCUAAAUAUUGGCCAGAGACCGAUAGCGCACAAGUAGAGUGAUCGAAAGAUGAAAAGCACUUUGGAAAGAGAGUUAAAAAGCACGUGAAAUUGUUAAAAGGGAAGGGAUUGCAACCAGACUUGCUCGCGGUGUUCCGCCGGUCUUCUGACCGGUCUACUCGCCGCGUUGCAGGCCAGCAUCGUCUGGUGCCGCUGGAUAAGACUUGAGGAAUGUAGCUCCUUCGGGAGUGUUAUAGCCUCUUGUGAUGCAGCGAGCGCCGGGCGAGGUCCGCGCUUCGGCUAGGAUGCUGGCGUAAUGGUCGUAAUCCGCCCGUCUUG